rnacentral:rRNA from 1 species
CCUACGGGAGACAGCAGUGGGGAAUAUUGGGCAAUGGGCGCAAGCCUUACCCAGCAAUACCGCGUGAGUGAAGAAGGUCUUCGGAGUGUAAAGCUCUUUGAACAGGGCAGAAAAGAUGACGGUACCUGAAGAACAAGCCCCGGCUAACUACGUGACAGCAGCCGCGGUAAAACGUAGGGGGCGAGCGUUUACCGGAAUGACUGGGCGUAAAGGGUGCGUAGGCGGCAUAAUAAGUUAUAAGUGAAAUACCCAGAGCUUAACUCGGGUGCUGCUUCUAAGACUGUUGAGCUUGAGUGCGGGAGAGGUUAAUGGAAUUCCUAGUGUAGCGGUGGAAGGCGUAGAUAUUAGGAGGAACACCAGAGGCGAAGGCGAUUAACUGGACCGUAACUGACGCUGAGGCACGAAAGUGUGGGUAGCAAACAGGAUUAGAUACCCCAGUAGUC